rnacentral:rRNA from 1 species
UACGUAGGGGCUAGCGUUGUCCGGAAUCAUUGGGCGUAAAGCGCGUGUAGGCGGUCCGGUAAGUCCGCUGUGAAAGUCGGGAGCUCAACCCUCGGAUGCCGGUGGAUACUGUCGGGCUUGAGUACGGAAGAGGCGAGUGGAAUUCCUGGUGUAGCGGUGAAAUGCGCAGAUAUCAGGAGGAACACCAAUUGCGAAGGCAGCUCGCUGGGACGUUACUGACGCUGAGACGCGAAAGCGUGGGGAGCAAACAGG